CCUACGGGGGGCAGCAGUGAGGAAUAUUGGACAAUGGUCGGAAGACUGAUCCAGCCAUGCCGCGUGCAGGAUGAAGGUCUUAUGGAUUGUAAACUGCUUUUGUAAGGGAAGAAUAAGGACUACGUGUAGUUUGAUGACGGUACCUUACGAAUAAGCAUCGGCUAACUCCGUGCCAGCAGCCGCGGUAAUACGGAGGAUGCGAGCGUUAUCCGGAAUCAUUGGGUUUAAAGGGUCUGUAGGCGGGCUUGUAAGUCAGAGGUGAAAGCGCUCAGCUCAACUGAGCAACUGCCUUUGAAACUGUUGGUCUUGAAUGGUUGUGAAGUAGUUGGAAUGUGUAGUGUAGCGGUGAAAUGCUUAGAUAUUACACAGAACACCGAUAGCGAAGGCAUAUUACUAACAAUUGAUUGACGCUGAUGGACGAAAGCGUGGGGAGCGAACAGGAUUAGAUACCCCGGUAGUC
rnacentral:rRNA from 1 species